ensembl:lincRNA
GUGAGCGCCCAUUGCUUUCUCCCCCGGGCUGCCCCCACGGGGCCCGGGCCGCCCAGGAGCUCUUCCCUGGCCUCGCCAGCGUGCGGCGGCCCGCUGCGGACAGUCUCGGAGCUGUCCCCGCCGAGCUCCUCUUCGGCCAAGGAUCCGUCCCCGCGUCGCCACCGCGGCCUCCAGCGUCACCCUGGCCCGGCCUCAGCCCAGCCCGUUGCGGUCCACGUGGCUCGGCAGAGCUAUAUUCGGCUCGCUGGAAGCCUGAGCGAGGGGAAAGCCGAGCCGAGGCCGGCGGGAGGGGCACAGGGGACGCGGGCGCCGGGGGCGGGCGCGGGGCGGAGGAAGGGGAGGGCCGUGCGCCGGGGAGGAGGUGACCCGGCUCGGGGCGCCCGGCUCGAGCCCCGGCUGGCCAGCGAAGGCGGCCCCUCCCCGGUGGCCCCGCCUCCCACUCGCCUUGCUCCCGGGGGAAGGUUUCCCGAGGCCGCUCCCAGCCUCACCCCGCCUCCCGCGUCCCCGGCGCUAGCCUCGGCCGGCGGAGCCCCACUAUGCCAGACAGUUUCGACACUUUGCAAAGACAAAGAGCCCUCAACCGGAGGGAGGCGAGAGAGGAGGAAGAGGAGAGAGGGGAGCCAGAGGCGAGAUUCCGCUUCCCUCGGCUGGAAAUGCCAGGGACAGGCCAUCAGUAGGUCCGAGCUCUUUGCUGAGCAAAGGGACCAUUCCACCUGUGACUGGGAAUGGACAGCCUCUCAGCCUUCUGAGGUGAGUGCUGUGAGAUGUACCAUCUUCUCCACAUUCUUCCAUGGACUAUGUUGCAUGGAGAGGGGAGAUGCUGUGCUGUGUCUUGGUCCCUCUGUGAUCCUGCCUGUUCUGCCAGAGCUCCUCUGGGAGAAUUGUCACUCAGAGAGGAAGGACAGCUCUGAUGAAGUCUCAAGCAGCCUCUCGUGAUCCUGAAGGGAGUGCCUGUCAAGUUCUCAUGAAAACUGAUAAGCAGACGCUUAGAGCAGGAACAAUCUUCUAGAAUAGAUGCCAGCCACCCCGAAGAAGGCCAGGCAUAAUGCUUCGCUGUGUCCUGGAGCAAGAGUUAAACCCCAACCUUUGGGACACACCUGGCCAGGCUUGGAUUUACAAAUAAAGCACAUGAGUUCCAGCCAAGCCUCCCAGACCAGAAGAAAUGUGCCAUCAACCAAAUUCAGCCAUGGCUGUGUGCUGUCUUCAGGCACUAAGGUCUGGGCUAUUUAUUAUGUGGGGAAAGCUGACUGACACAGCCACAUUUGAGGACCCAUCUGGCAGGUGGCUCCACCUCUUUGCAGUAGAGCAGUCAUAGUAACAGAGACCUGUGGCUGCAGAGCCUGGAGUAGGUACCCUGUGGUCUAGAGCUGAGCUAUCCACUUGGAGCCGCUGUAUUAAAAUUAAACAGAAUUAAAACUUCAGUUUCAAGUCACACUUAGACAUAUGUCAGGUGCUCAGGAGCCCCAUAGAGCUGGUGGCUACUAAAUGGGUGGAGGGGGCUGGGGAUAUUUCCAUCAUUAGAGAACAGUGGGUUGGAAAGAAGGUCAUCACCCUGGGAUGUGUCACUGUACCCUGCCUGUCCUUAACCCACUUGGGGAUGACUGCAACUAUUUCAGAAGAAGAAAGAAGGUUGGUAUGUGUGAGUGAGUGACUGAGUGAGUAUCUAUACAACUGGGGUUUUUGACAUGAUUAUUGGUGAAAAUCUCUGUCUUUCUUUUUUAUGGUCACUGAGCUAUGAUCACAACCCCUACCUUUGUCUUUAAAAAUAGAAUUACUUUUACAGUUUCUUUGGGGCGUAUGGUCUCUGCAUAUGAAUUCAUGUAGAAAUAAAACCACAUAGGCCUUGGGGUUUCUUGGUUUUAUAGAUUAAA